GCUGGGAUUACAGGUGUGAGCCACCACAUGUGGCUGGGACUGGGUAAUUUAUAAAGAAAAGAGAUGUAUUAGCUCACAGUUCUGCAGGCUGUACACGUUUGACCCCAGCAUCUGCUCGGCCUCUGGGGAGGCCUCGGGAAGCUUUUGCUCAUGGCAGAAGGCGAAUGGGGAGCUGGUGUGUCACAUGGCGAGAGAGAGAGAGCCAGAGAGAUGCCGGGCUCCUCUAAUCAGCCAGCUCUUGUGUGAACUAACAGAGAGAGAACCCACUCACUACUGUGAGCCACUCAUGAGGGAUACAUCCACAUGACCCAGACACCUCCAACACCGGGAAUCACAUUUCAACAUGAAAUUUAACGUGGACAAAUAUUCAAACCAUAUCAACUUCCUACCUACAUACUUUGCUUGGCUAGGCUGAGAAGGUUCCCAGGCUCCCCUGAGACUCCAGCACUUGAUGUUCUCCUUAGAGCAGCAAUGGGGGACACUUCAGGCUGUUGGCAUUUCUGGAAGCAUCUUUGGGGUGAGCAGCCAGGAGCACUGAGUAAACAAAUGUGGAACACACCAUUGCCACCAUUCCACUAUUUUGUGCCCAUGACAGGCAUCACCAAUGGAUUGCUGCUUUUAAUGCCCUCAGUCUGUAACUGUAACUGCCCAUUAUGUGUUAGAAAAUUCAGGCUGGGUACAGCGGCUCACACCUGCAAUCCCAGCACUUUUAGAGGCUGAGGUGGGAGGAUCACUUAAGCCAUGGAGUUCAAGACCAGCCUGGGCAACAGAGCAAAACUCCCAUCUCUACAAAAAAUUUGUAACCAGGUGUGGUAGCAUGUGCCUGUAGUCCCAGCUACUCUGGAGGCUGAGGUGGGAGGGUUGUUUGAGUCUAGGAGGUUGAGGCUGCAGUGAGCUGUGAUCACACCACUGCAUUCCAGCCUGAGUGACAGAGCAAGACCUUGUCAAAAAAAAAAAAAAAAAAAAAGAAAGAAAGAAAGAAAGAAAAGAAAAGAAAAGAAAAAAGAAAAGAAAAUUCAUUCACAGUGGCAAAGUGCUCUUCAGUUGUUUCUGGGAGUCCCCAAUGGGGUGUCCCCAUAGACAUCCACAAACCAGUGUGUCAGUUGCAGUCAAAAUGUGACUGCCACCCUCUCUUCCUACAGGUUCUUGUCUGUGAGUACGCAAGAUUGCUUGGAGUAGCCUCAUCAUGGCCCCAUUGGUCCCCUGCAAGGCUGCCAUGGGGACACUCUCCCAAAGCCCCCAAAGCUGUCAGGAAACAUUUAAGCAGCAGGACAAUUGUUACGGCCUACACAAUAGGGAUGUUUGUUAUCACACAACAAUAAGUCGGGAUGUGAGUGAUCUCACAGUUGGUCCAUUGCUCAACAAUGUAAACAGGGGCCCAGUGUCUUUCUAGUAGUCUUCUGAUCAGCUGUCCUCUGCUUGGGACCUCAUGGUCACAAGAUAGCUGCCAUGGCACCAAACAUCACAUCUUCACUUGACAAUCUCCAGUAUGGGAAAGAAGCUGUCCAGGGAAGAGAGCUCUUCUUGUGAGUCUCCCUGUUAAUCAGAAAGAAAAUCAUUCCUAGAACUGCCCUACUUCUCACCCCAGGUGCAGAAUUACCCUUAUAUUUCCUUGGUCAGAACUGAAUCACCUCGCUUCCCCUAGUACAAAGGAGGCUGAGAAGUGAGCUCUUGGCACCAAGAGACUCAGUAAAGAAGGAGGGUGAGGGAAAGGUGCUUGAGGCAGGAAACCUCAGUGUCUGCCCCAAGUGACCUUCCUGAGAGUUGAAGGAGCAGGGGCUUGAGCUGGUGGCACACAUGUCCACUGCCCUACCCAGCCACCUGUAAGGGUAGCUUCUGAGCUUCUGAGUCACCACUAUCUCAGGGGGAUCAAACCCAAUCCCAGGGCCAGAUAGAAAGUGUGUGGCCCCUUUCCCUUCUCCCCUCCCCUCCUUUUCUCCUGACGCAAAUCUGUCACAGAAGCAGCUCUCUAUCUUCAUAGAAGGUUUCUGCUUUACCCUUUGGGAGGCCGAGGUGGGCAGAUAGCCUGAGGUCAGGAGUUCGAGACCAGCGUGGCCAACAUGGUGAAACCCUGUCUCUACUACAAAUACAAAAAAAUUAGCUGGGCAUGGUGUCACAUGCCUGUAAUCCCAGCUACAAUGGAGGCUGAGGCAGGAGAAUCGCUUGAACCUGAGAGGCAGAGGUUGCAGUGAGCCGAGAUCACGCCACUGCGCUCCAGCCUCGGCAACAGAGUGAGACUCGGUCUAAAACAACAACAACAAAAAAAGGUUUCUGCUUUGUCAUUUCACUACUAGAAGUUCCCUUGCUGUGUCCCCAAAACAAAGGAACUGUCUGUCCCCCCCAAAGACAAACUCAAGCCUCUACCCCUAUGUAAAACAAAGAAUGAUUUGAAUGGUUGCAAUUCUAGGUUAUUUAUUUAUAGGCGUCUAUGAACUUCCUGGUGGAGGUUUAAGAAAUGUUGGACCAUUUAUCUUUACUCGGUUAUGAAGCUUAGAGUGAUGUGGGAUCCACUUUAAGAGAAAGGGUGGAGGCAGGGCCUGGAUGUGCCAGCCCCAGAGCCCAGGCUGUAACCACUGCCCCAUCCUGCUGUUUUACCCCCGGGCAGGAAUCCUCUGAUCAGCUUCACUUUCUCUUAGUUUUUCCUUAUGACACUGUGAUGUACUUCCAAAUCACCAGGCUCUUGUCCACAUGAACACUCUGGUUCAGAGGGUGGGAGAGGAUUCGUACCCCCAAAAGCUCCCAGCUGGGCUGUCAGACCCAGGACCUCACUCUCAGUGGCAAGACCUUGGCCCAGUUCUUCUCAGUCCUGGCUGCUCAUGAGAAUCACCUGA
rnacentral:lncRNA from 10 species